GAUGAACGCUGGCGGCGUGCCUAAUACAUGCAAGUCGAGCGAACGGAUAAGGAGCUUGCUCCUUUGAAGUUAGCGGCGGACGGGUGAGUAACACGUGGGUAACCUACCUAUAAGACUGGAAUAACUUCGGGAAACCGGAGCUAAUGCCGGAUAACAUUUGGAACUGCAUGGUUCUAAAGUAAAAGAUGGUUUUGCUAUCACUGAUAGAUGGAUCCGCGCCGUAUUAGCUAGUUGGUAAGGUAACGGCUUACCAAGGCAACGAUACGUAGCCGACCUGGGAGGGUGAUCGGCCACACUGGAACUGAGACACGGUCCAGACUCCUACGGGAGGCAUCAGUAGGGAAUCUUCCGCAAUGGACGAAAGUCUGACGGAGCAACGCCGCGUGAGUGAUGAAGGUUUUCGGAUCGUAAAACUCUGUUAUUAGGGGAGAACAAAUGUGUAAGUAACUGUGCACAUCUUGACGGUACCUAAUCAGAAAGCCACGGCUAACUACGUGCCAGCCGCCGCCGUAA
rnacentral:rRNA from 1 species